UAGGGAAUCUUCCACAAUGGGCGAAGCCUGAUGGAGCAACGCCGCGUGUGUGAUGAAGGCUUUCGGGUCGUAAAGCACUGUUGUAUGGGAAGAACAGCUAGAAUAGGAAAUGGUUUUAGUUUGACGGUACCAUACCAGAAAGGGACGGCUAAAUACGUGCCAG
rnacentral:rRNA from 1 species